GGAGGAAAUAAAACCAACGAUUACAAAUAACAAUUUGGAUCCAUUUGGCAAUUAUAUUUUAUGCAAUCAUCUAAUUUCUCAUAACAAUAUGAUGCGUCCCCAAACCCAAACGUACGACAAUAUAAUGUUGCGAAUGAGUCAUAGCAACAAUAUGUUGUACAUGAUGUUUUUGCGUUUUCAGGUAAAGGUAAGCCAUCAGGUCCAGAAUCACACCAAUCUGGAAACCGUGUGACCUGCAAUUGAAACUCAAACGAAAAAAUCAAAAACGAUUUUCAAAAACGAAUAAUGAAAAAAGAGUAAAAGAAAAUUUACCUUGGCAAAUGAUGAGGAGAUUCACCAAAAUAUAAACAUGAAGGAGAAUUUGUAAGAAAUCAUUUUUCAG
rnacentral:lncRNA from 1 species